rnacentral:rRNA from 1 species
CCUACGGGUGGCAGCAGUGGGGAAUAUUGGACAAUGGGCGAAAGCCUGAUCCAGCCAUGCCGCGUGUGUGAAGAAGGCCUUCGGGUUGUAAAGCACUUUCAGUGGGGAAGAAAGCCUUGGGGCUAAUACCCUCGAGGAAGGACAUCACCCACAGAAGAAGCACCGGCUAACUCCGUGCCAGCAGCCGCGGUAAUACGGAGGGUGUGAGCGUUAAUCGGAAUUACUGGGCGUAAAGCGCGCGUAGGCGGUCUGAUAAGCCGGUUGUGAAAGCCCCGGGCUCAACCUGGGAACGGCAUCCGGAACUGUCAGGCUAGAGUGCAGGAGAGGAAGGUAGAAUUCCCGGUGUAGCGGUGAAAUGCGUAGAGAUCGGGAGGAAUACCAGUGGCGAAGGCGGCCUUCUGGACUGACACUGACGCUGAGGUGCGAAAGCGUGGGUAGCAAACAGGAUUAGAUACCCUGGUAGUC